AUUGAACGCUGGCGGCAGGCCUAACACAUGCAAGUCGAACGGUAACAGGAAGAAGCUUGCUUCUUUGCUGACGAGUGGCGGACGGGUGAGUAAUGUCUGGGAAACUGCCUGAUGGAGGGGGAUAACUACUGGAAACGGUAGCUAAUACCGCAUAACGUCGCAAGACCAAAGAGGGGGACCUUCGGGCCUCUUGCCAUCUGAUGUGCCCAGAUGGUAUUAGCUAGUAGGUGGGGUAACGGCUCACCUAGGCGACGAUCCCUAGCUGGUCUGAGAGGAUGACCAGCCACACUGGAACUGAGACACGGUCCAGACUCCUACGGGAGGCAGCAGUGGGGAAUAUUGCACAAUGGGCGCAAGCCUGAUGCAGCCAUGCCGCGUGUAUGAAGAAGGCCUUCGGGUUGUAAAGUACUUUCAGCGGGGAGGAAGGGAGUAAAGUUAAUACCUUUGCUCAUUGACGUUACCCGCAGAAGAAGCACCGGCUAACUCCGU
rnacentral:rRNA from 1 species